rnacentral:tRNA from 1 species
GCGAGGGUUGCCAAGCCUGGUCAACGGCGCAGGGCUUAGGACCCUGUCUCAAGGAGUCCAUGGGUUCGAAUCCCAUCCCUCGCA